AGUGUAGGCGGUUUGACAAGUCGGGUGUGAAAUCCCAGGGCCCAACCCUGGAACUGCAUCCGAUACUGUCAGGCUAGAGUCCCGGAGAGGGUGGCGGAAUUCCCGGUGUAGGGGUGAAAUCCGUAGAUAUCGGGAGGAACACCAGUGGCGAAGGCGGCCACCUGGACGGUGACUGACGCUGAGACUCGAAAGUGUGGGUAGCAAACAGGAUUAGAUACCCUGGUAGUCC
rnacentral:rRNA from 1 species